ensembl:lncRNA
AUAUUUACUUUUCAGAUGCUUUGAAAUGGGAUUCUACAAGUACUUCUCUGAUAAAGGAGAGUCACAAAAGUUCCAACGACAUGAAGUUGCAAAGUGAUUUUCUUGGCAAAUCACUGACAGUGAAUCAACGUCAAUUAGCAUCCACAAAAUUUGAGAGGAUUCCAUCCAAAGAAGGUGAAGCUGUAGCUGGAAUUGGGCCUGUCACUGAUUAUAAAGUUGGAAUUCAAUUAGAAAAACCAGUCCCCAAGAAGGAGUGUUCCAAGGAAAUAAAGUUGCAAAGUAAUUAUCCUGGCAACUCAUUGCCACCGAAUCAAAAUCAAGUACCAUCCACAAUAUUUGAAAAGAUUCCAUCCAUAAUAGGUGAAGCUGUAGUUGGAAUUGGGCCUGCCAUUGACUAUAAAGUUGGAGUUCAGUUAGAAAAACCAGUCCCCCAAAAGCAAUGUGAACCACCUCUACAGAAAGAGAAACAGAAAGAAGUAAAGAAAGACUUGAAACAAGAAUUGAAAUUUAGAGGACCAUCAGAAUUACCAGAAGCAUCAUCUGCUUUGGCAAAGAACUUAAGUGAUUCUGUGGAAAAAAAGAAAGAUAAAGGCCCUCUCAGUGUAGAUCUUCAGUCAUUUCCUGGACAAAGGGAAGAUAGUUCAGAAAAUGUCUUUUUAAAGAAUUUAAAGAUCAGCUUCUCAAAAAAUGUGCUUCAGUUUUCUUCUUAUAUGUGCUCAAAAAAGAGCACCCCACAGUCUAAAAAUAAGCCACAAAUUGAACGUACUUAUAAAGUAAAUGAAGAGAAUAUUGCUUAUGUUGCAAAAAAUAUAAAAAGAGCUGACUCAAAAUUCAGCAUAAAUAAAAUAAAGGAAGAUAGAUGGUUUGGUAUUGAAAUGACAUUUAGUCAGCACAAAAAUAUCACAAAUUUGGAAUCGGAUUCAGGUUUGCUCCAAUCAAGUGGUCCAGGAAGUCAUUUUGGUGUCCAGCUUACUCAUUCUGGCAAUAUGACAUCAAUCAACCAAGGAAAAAACCCUGAACUCAUUACUGCAAGAAAGUGUAAAGAAAAAACAAAACAUAUAGAAACCUCCUUCCAAAACAGUCAUCAUAAUGCCACUAAUUCUACACAUGAAGGGAGAUACUCCCUUUCACACGGGGACAAAAUCUCAAAAAUAUGCCUAGAUAAAGAAUUAAAGCAAGAUAAACAAAGAUUGAUAAAUGAAUUAGGAAUGUUGCAAGCAGAGUUCCUGACUUUGAAGAAAGAAAAAAUACAACCACAAAAAGAGGUGGAAGAGAAAGAGCAAAAGCAUCAACAGAAUAAAAUAAACAUAUUGGAGAGAAAAGAUGAUGAUGAAUUAACUGAAAACAGGAGAACGGGCAACGCUAAUGAGCAAUUUUCAGUGGAGAGCCACCAGCAUGGUAAAGAUGAGGAAAAUAAAAUUCCUGGGGAAGAAAUUCCAAUAAUGAGCAUUUCUUCCAAAGAAAAUUUAGCACCUGUACACCAUGUUUUAAAGGGGUAAGUUUGUCAAAAUAUUUAACUGGAGUAUUAUUAUCAAAUAUUAACAUUCAUGGUAAUGUUCAGUUUACUCUAACAAUCUAGAUCCAUAUUCAUUCUGCAUCCACUUGCUUUUUUUGCUGAGAGAGAACUCUCAUGAAGUCCCAUGAAUGUAUAUUGUUCUAUUGAUGUAAGUAUAUUCUUUUAUUUUGGAAGAAACAUCAGUGUUUAUUGAAAGAAGGUAGGUAGUCUUUGAUGAGAUCCAAAAGAUCAGCAUAUGGUAUAAGAUAUGAAUGGCAAGGAGAAAAGCAAGAUAGUUUGCAAAAGUUUGCAAAUUUAUAAAUAAUAAGUGCUAAUGAGAUAUGAAAAUAGGCUUUUAGCUACUCCAAAAGGUAGAUGAGUUCUCUUAGUCAUUACAAAGUUUCCCAUCAGUAGAAAUAUUCAAGAAUGAAUCAAUUUAAGUGCUUAUCAUGGCCAAGCACUGAGGAAAGUCAGACAACCUAGAUUCUUAAGAAACUCACACUUAUAAUUGUAGACAUGCAAAUCAUUAAAAGGAUAAUUACCAACUUCAUGCUAUGUAAGAUGGGCCCGAGGAGAGAAAGGUUAAUGUCCUUUCAGGAUGGCAGAAAAAAAAAGGGAAUGGACAGAAAUGUAGAGAGAAGUGCUCAUAUAGCUUUUGUUUUAUAAGGCCUUCUGGUGCUCAUAAGGUUUCUGGGUAGAAUGAGAGCAAAAAGCAGGUAGCAAAUGUUACCUGCUUUCCACUUAAAAAAUCUUAGGAUGAUAGAUAUGCUAGGCAGGAAUAUGGUAAAAAGGGUUCACAAUUUAUGUUGCAGUUGUACUUACUAAAAGACCUCUAAAAUUCCAAUUCAUGAGAGUUGUAAUGUGGAAGUGUUCUGGAUUAACAUUGAGAAAGUCUAGAAUGUUUCAAAAAAAAAAAAAAAAGCAAACCUGGAUUUACUUUUAACUUAAAAUAAUUUAACAGCCUUAAAAAACUUAUCCUAAAAUAAUUAAUUUCAACCAUACAUAGCCUAUUGGAGAGACACUGAAAAGGGCAUCUUUUCCUGCUCAAUGACAGUACUCAUACAUUGUGACCUCAGUUGCAUGCAGACAGAAAAUUAUUUACUGUUCCUUUGAUUAGUGGGGAGUAACCAUUUUAGACUUAUUUGUGAUAGACAUUAAAGUCAUGGACAAUUGAAAGCUUCUUGUCAUCUUUUACUUUUUUAUCAGCCUCAUUUCCCAAUAUAUCUCUGCUCACCCUUCUAGUGAAACAUUCCUAAUCACAUAUCAAUAUUACAUGCAGUGUCCCAUAUUGAUAGUCUCCCACUCUGAAUAAAUAGGAAGUGGUACCUUCUCAUCUGGACCAAGCUUAGACAUUAUAAUUUCACAGUAUUCAGUUGCAGUUACUUUAUUGUUCUUAGCAAUUAGAUUAUUGCAGUUAGAAUGUAUAUUGUUGUCCUGGUUACUUUUAUUUCAUUUUGCAUUAAUUCAUAUAAAUAUUCUCAUCCUCCCAUUUAAUAUUUCUAAACAUACAUAAUAGUGUUCCAUUCCAUCAACAAACCAUAAUUUAUUUAGCCAUUCUUUAGUCAGUGAACACCUACUCUAUUCCCAGUUAUUUGCUACUACAAAAGAUCCUUGCUAUGAAUAUUUUGGUUUUUAAAACUUUUCUUGCCAUUCGGUAAAAAUAACUCUUUGGGGUAUACUUUUAGCAGUUGGAGAGAGGAGACCAUGGUAAAGCACCAGAGAAAUUACUAUUCUUUUGGAAAGUUUGAAGAAAAGGAAAUCAAAAUAGGGUAAGUUGCCAGAGAACAUUCUAUAUUAAUUCUGUGAAAUCUGUGAG